GGCGGCAGGCUAACACAUGCAAGUCGAGCGGAUGACAGGAGCUUGCUCCUGAAUUCAGCGGCGGACGGGUGAGUAAUGCCUAGGAAUCUGCCUGGCAGUGGGGGACAACGUUUCGAAAGGAACGCUAAUACCGCAUACGUCCUACGGGAGAAAGCAGGGGACCUUCGGGCCUUGCGCUAUCAGAUGAGCCUAGGUCGGAUUAGCUAGUUGGUGAGGUAAUGGCUCACCAAGGCGACGAUCCGUAACUGGUCUGAGAGGAUGAUCAGUCACACUGGAACUGAGACACGGUCCAGACUCCUACGGGAGGCAGCAGUGGGGAAUAUUGGACAAUGGGCGAAAGCCUGAUCCAGCCAUGCCGCGUGUGUGAAGAAGGUCUUCGGAUUGUAAAGCACUUUAAGUUGGGAGGAAGGGCAGUAAAUUAAUACUUUGCUGUUUUGACGUUACCGACAGAAUAAGCACCGGCUAACUCUGUGCCAGCAGCCGCGGUAAUACAGAGGGUGCAAGCGUUAAUCCGGAAUUACUGGGCGU
rnacentral:rRNA from 1 species